UACGUAGGGUGCAAGCGUUAAUCGGAAUUACUGGGCGUAAAGCGUGCGCAGGCGGUUGUGCAAGACAGAUGUGAAAUCCCCGGGCUCAACCUGGGAACUGCAUUUGUGACUGCACGGCUAGAGCGCGGCAGAGGGGGAUGGAAUUCCGCGUGUAGCAGUGAAAUGCGUAGAUAUGCGGAGGAACACCGAUGGCGAAGGCAAUCCCCUGGGCCUGCACUGACGCUCAUGCACGAAAGCGUGGGGAGCAAACAGG
rnacentral:rRNA from 1 species